UCAAGAGACUUUGUUUCUUCACAAACAAACAAACAAAUGAAUGAACAACAACAAAACAAAGUAGAAAAUGACUGAGGAUGGCAAGGUUGACCUUUGGCUUCCAUACACAAGUGUAUGUGCAUAUGUGAAUGUGCAGUUGCAUGCAUAAGACACACACACACACACACACACACACACACACACAAACAAAUACACACAUGACGACGUAUAACCUUUAAAUGGGCAGAUUUAAAACAAAACAAAUGACAAUCAAAACAAUCUUUUCCUGCAACAAUGACCUUCUCCACUGAGUACCUGUCAAAGUCUGACUUGAUUGGUGGAAGAUGGAGCCCACAUUUAGCUUUGAUUCAAGAUGGUAGUACAGGGCUGGAAAGGUAGCUCCGUGGCUAAGAUUGAGCAUGGGGGCUCACAGCCAUCUGUAACUCCAGUCCCAGGUGAUCUGAUGCCCUCUUCUGGCCUCUGCAGUUACUGCAUGUCCACAGCACAUAUGCAUACAUGUAGGCAAACACUAAUAUACAUAUAAUAAAAAUAAAUACAUUUUUUUAAGAAGACAGUAAGCUACUUAAAUCUUAAGACUGUAGCUUAAGGAUUUUGACAUAGGAUAACAUCAGCAUAACCCCAUGCCUAACCACUUCCAAAUCAAAAUAGGUACACUUGGCCUCAGGAGGUUUUCCUCCCAGUGAUUCUGAUGGGCUUUGUUGUGUGCACAUGGCUGUCCACACUGACUUUUCUCUUCUCCCGAUUCAUCGUGCUUCCUCUCAUACUUUACCCAUCACCUCGGCUUCACAGAACUCCUGUCCCUCACCAUCAGGCACCCCUUUCAUUUGUACCCCUCUUUCUGUUGACUUUGCCCCUUCUCUUGAGCUGUCCAGUGAGUGGAUGUUGGUCUCCUCCACAGAGCUAUAGCUUCUUGCUUCACACAUUGGCUGUCACUGUAUCUUUAUAUCCUCAGAGCCAGCACACCAGGCAUGUGAGUCACCAACUUCAGUUCUGGCACUCUGGCUUCCUGCUGCCAUCGAUGUCACCCGUGAGAAUGAACUGUGAUGGAUACAGGAAGAGACAGAAUUAGUUUGAUUUUUUUUUUUCAGUUCUAGGGGAGUGAACCCAGGACCUCAUACCUGCUAGGCUGCCAUCCCAGUCAUCCUUUAAUUUUCACUGGCUUUGAACCCAUUUGUCUUAGUCAGGGUUUCUAUUUCUGCGCAAACAUCAUGACUAAGAAGCAAGUUGGGGAGGAAAGGGUUUAUUCGGCUUACACUUCCAUACUGCUGUUCAUCACCAAAGGAAGUCAGGACUGGAACUCAAGCAGGUCAGGAAGCAGGAGCUGAUGCAGAGGCCAUGGAGGGAUGUUACUUACUGGCUUGCUUGCUUCCCCUGGCUUGAUCAGCUUGCUUUCUUAUAGAACCCAAGACUACCAGCCCAGAGAUGGUACCACCCACAAGGGAUGCUCACCCCUUGGUCACUAAUUAAGAAAAUGCCCCACAGCUGGAUCUCAUGGAGGCACUUCCCCAGCUGAAGCUCCUUUCUCUAACUCCAGCUGUGUCAAAUUGACACACAAAAGCAGCCAGUAUACCAUUCCUUAGCCCACAUACACAUACACACUUACAAACAUGCACAUGCAUCCAUGCAUGCAUAUGCAUCCACCCACAUAUACAAGCACAUACGAAUGCGCUGUGACACAUCCUGAUCAACCGUUACCUGUAGAAUACUUUUGAGAAGCCAUCCUGUCCUUGGGCGAGUCAUCCCUGCCUCUGUUUCUUUGUUUAUGUAGAUCACUCCACAAAACUCUUCUGAAUUAUCUGAAUCAAAUGUAGGACUUAUGCCAACACCUUGUCUUUAAAUCAUCCUCCAAGAUCCCAAACCCUCAUGUAUUAGUCUUUUUUUUUUCUUUUCUUUUCCUCUUGCACCUUAACUUCAUGUUAUUGGUAAGCUGGUGAAGUAUUGGUAAGCUGGUGAAGUAUUGGUAAGCUGGUGAAGUAUUGCCCUCAUUUCACAGGAAGGAAGAGGUGAGGUGAGCCUUAAGACCUGACCUCUCCGCCUUAGGCAUUUCCAAAUGCAUUUAGAGCCAGGUAGUCAUGCCUUUAACCCCAUCACUCAGGAGACAGAGGCCGGAAAAUCACUGAGUUCGAGGCUAACCUGUUCUAGAGAGAAAGAGUUUCAGGACAGUGAGACUUAUACAGAGAAACCCUGUCUCAGAAAACUAAAACCAACAAAAACGUACUUUGAAAAUUUUUAAUGCAAUCUGACUUCUUUCUGACUUGAUUUUAUAUGUGAAAAAAAAAAAAGGAAAAGAAAAACAGAGCAAACCAUUCCUUCUGCCUUCUUCUGCAAAGGUAGUGCCACUUCAGAGGUGAUGGAAGGGGUGGCUUCUCUCCACCUUUACCCCUGGCAUUCCAGCUGUUCGUUCCUAAUGACAUCUCUCUAGGCUCUCCCUCUACAAAGCCUUCCCUGAGCCCACCACUGCUCACCCCACCCCAUCCCCCACCUCUGUGCCUAGAUUCCGGCAUCUGUGCAAUGGAGUUACAGAGCUGUUCCAUUUUAAGUCCUCAAAAAAGUACAAACGAGAUUGAGAAACUUAUCUGAGAGGAAUUUUGAAAGGUCUGCUCCAAACUGUUUAGCUAUUUUUCCUAAGAGCCAGAAGCACAAAAGAACACACUCAUUAUCCCAUGGCUUCCCAGAUCUCACCAUGAAAAAUAAUCGCUGUCAGAUUCUCUGGGCUUUCGGUUCAUGGGGCUCUUUCUUAAGGAGGAAACGGGACUGGAGUCCUGGCUCACAAGAAACAUCACCCUUUCCACCUACACCCUGUUCCUCACUCCAUCCACAGCAUCUGUUUAUCUCCUGUAGGGUUAUGCUAACACUACACACACUGUAGGAUGAUUGGCACUGCCUUCUCUCCCCUUCGCUCUGGGCUCGUUGAGAGGAGAGACUGUAUUCUAGUGUGUGCCCAGCCUGGUUCCUUAACCUCAAAGUUACAGUGUCUUUAUUGAAUGAGAAAAUGAGUGCUUGAAGAAACAAUGAAGGAGGUUUUAUGGUUAUCAAGCAGAAGAGACUAGAGCCCGGCUGUUUCUAGGAAGACAGGAAGGUUUCCUUUGUCUGUUUUUCCAGCUGCUUCAUUUUAGACUUUUGAAAUCUUUUUACAUUCAAAUGGAUUUACUGAUAUUGUAUUUUACAGCAGGUUAGAUUUGGAAUGCUUCCAUACUUCCUUUGAUGAGCGGGAGACUUCAAAAUAGAGCGCUUGGAAUUUCAGAAGCCCCAGCACCACAGUGUAACUACAACUCUUGACUGUUUUCCUUUUAUCAACUAUUGACUUUGAAAGAGUCAAGUGAUUCUAAAACCCAACUUCCCGAAGUCUGGGAGCGAGUUCCUCAAACGCGUUUAGCAGUCAAAACAAUUCUAUAGAGGACAAAAGAGGCAACGGAGGCAUUUCUGUUUCAAAUCAAAGUUUGAAAUGUCUCAAAAUGAGUAAAAGGUUGACUGCUGGAUGGUGAAGUAUUUUUAGUAGGAGAGAAUUUGCUUCGGGAAAUACCCAAGGCAUACUGUAUUAUAUUGAGAUGAAUAGACAGGGCCUAGAGAGAUGACUCGGCAGUUAAGAGUACUAAGUGUUCUUCCAAAGGACUUGUGUUCAGUUCCUAGCUUCCACACUGUGGGGCUCACAUCUUAACCCAUCUGGUAAGUCCAGCUGCAGGAAUUCCAAUCUGUCUUCUGUCCUCCAUCAUGGACACCCAUGGCUAGUACACAUGUACACUCACCACAGAAUACAUAACAAAUUAAAAAAGACAGUACAUUCAGACUAAUAAGAGCCAAAAGGACCUGGGUGAAGGAAGACAAAUGUCUCUUUAUUCAUAUCCAUGCACUAAGAUAUAAACAAGCCUGUGAGUGGGGACCUAACCAAAGCACAGGGCACUACCAGUUAUUUGAGCAGACUUCUUAGAUGGCUUCUUCUUAGGAUUUGCUUCCUGUCAUUCAUGGAACUUCUCGUGCCUGCAAUCCACUGGAGUUCUGUUUUGUUCUAAUCAGAUUUGUGGGCACAGGCAGUUUGUGUUGUUUUUUUUUUUUUUAAAAAGAGGCAACUUUUCACAUUCAACUGCCUUUCUGAGAAUUACCCAUCUAUGAAAAAGUAAAAAGAAAGUGGCCCCAUUACCAUUUCUGAGAAUCGGGCUUAACAUUAUCAUAAAUUAUACAGUAAACUAUCUUGGCCUCAGAUGGAAAGGUGUGUGUUUGUCUUUGAAGCUGAUGUAUUUUGACAGCGCACCAGGAGGCAGCUCGCUCUGAAUAAUGGGCUAGAUGAGAAGAAAUCACUCCCUUAAGUGAGCCUCUGCCAGACAGGGGGUAAAUGAACCUCCCCACCUGGACACCUUGCAAUUCCAGAAGCAUUGAUCACAUAAGACCUUCGUGCUCCUGGGAACCAAGGAACAGCUUGGUUAUAUCUUUUCUGUUUACAAAUGCUUAGGGAACUCCCUGCUUCCCCCUUGGCUUUAUGCAGUGUUUGAGGGCUGGGGUGGGGCCUCAGUCAGAGCUGCAGAUCCCAGCUGCUGAUGCCCAGGGAACUAACUAGCUUAGCUUUUUAGGUCUUGGCUUUUCCCCUCCACAGAAUGAGCAUCAUGUCUGGGCUACAUGUUCUCCACUCUGCCUGCUCCAUCCUAGACCAGAGUAUCUAUGAUAGAUAAGUGUCUUUGUCUGGUACCUAGGAGAAAGUGGAGCACGGGGUCCUUCAACUCAACUUUCUUCCAGGAUAAAGUGGGCCCUGUUUUAAGUCAGUGGAGCAACUAUCCAGCUCCAAGAUUGUGUUGUCUCUACCUGAGUCCUAAAGUGAGGUCCACAGUGAGGUGAUAGGGCUGCCUGGAGGGUUGGGGUUUCUCUCUCACCCAUGCCUAUUCAUUACAUUUCCCUAUACUCUCUCUUCCUGCUAAUGCCAUUUUCAUCACAGCUGUAUGGCCAUAGCGCAUGCAUCUCUUUCUCUUACCAAGUCAACACUGUUAAAAUGUACAUCUUUGGGCCAACAAGAUGACUCAGUAGGUAUAGACGCUUGCUGCCAAGCCUGGCGGCCCGAGUUCAAUCCCUAGGAGAGACCCAUACACAGGGUGGAAGGAAGAGAACUUCUGCUAGUUGUCCUCUGGCCUCCACAAGCGUGCUGUAGCAAAUAGAGCCAAACACUCACUCCUUCUCACUCUUAAGAUAAUUAAUUAGUAUAAUAGAAAUAAUAAAACAUUAAGACGCAAAUUCUCCAGUAAGGGCACUGUUUUCUGAAAAGGUGUGGAAGGCCAAUGGUGGGCUCUUGCAUGGUGACCUCACAUCUAUUCAGUCUGCUCUGCCAAGACUGAUUCCCAAGUUAUAGAUGUGAUAGUACUUACACAAUCUAUAAUCCCGUAGGAGACAAUGCUCUGGGCAUGUCUGUGAGGAAUUUAUCUAUAUUAGAGUUAUCACGUCUCACCCGUUCUAUUCCUGGGCUGAGGUCCAGGACUGAAUGAAAAGGGGAAAGGAAGAUGCGCACCAGCAUGCCUCUUUCUGUGCUUCCUGACCACAGACGCAGUGGAACCAGUUGUCACGAACUCCUACCUCACUGUCUGCCCGGCCAUGAUGGAAUCUGUUCCCUCAAACCAUAAGUCAAAAUAAAGCCUUUCCUCCUUAAAUUGAUUGUUGUCCGAUGCUUGGUCACAGCAAGUAUAAAAAAUAACGCAAUGAGUCUUCGCUGCUGGGCCCCCCAGCCAAAUCAUGUCCUCUCUCCUGCACGGGGCGCACUUCCGUUUCUUCACAUGGCAAUAUUUAUCCCUCCAGUCCCACACCAACUCUUGCCUUCCUUCAGAGACGAUAACUUCCUGGCGUCCAUCUCUUGAGUCUCCCUUGGAUGGUCAUUACUAUAUUGCUUCGUGCUGGGAUCCAUGUUGUCUGGAGCUUCUUGGCUGAAGGAAGCUAUAUGUCAAACCUUCCUUCUUCCUCGCAUGGCUCUUUGGAGGCAGUUUGAGUCUCUGAAACCCCACCAUACUAGAGUGUCUACGGGAAGAUGUGCUCUGUGGGACUGGUACCACAGGUGGACAGGAGUCCCAUUAGCAGCACUGUCUCUCUCUGAUAAAGAGGUCCAGGUCUUCCAUGCUGCCGCAGCCACAGCUGCAGUGUAUUCUGGGAGGUAGUCUGUUUUGGAAAACACAUGGUUAGAAUGAGCAGGGCUGAGGCCAGCAAGCCUGGGGUGCUGGCUAUCUGAUUUCACAUGUUCCCAUCUCUCAAGUCAGCCAGGCUUCCUUUAAAGGCAGUGGUUUGUAAGAGAUCUCUGGUCGGUUUGUGAUGUAAAUGGUGCCCUUGAAUGUGGUUUCGAUUUUCAUUUUUUCUGGAGUAUUCAUUACAAAGCCUUCAUGGUGGAUCACUUCCCAGAGAGAGUUGCCAGAUUGGAGGAGUUGAAAACCAGCUCCCUCAUGCACUCUAGAGUUAGAAAAACAGGAGUUUCUUCAUCGUGCAAGCCCCCCAUGUUAAGCCCAUGGGAGCUGGAGCCCUAAGUGGGAAUCCAUACACCUCCUACCACAAACACCAAUGUAAUAAACAUGAUCUGUGCUCUACUAUCAUUUUUUUUUCUGAUUAAAAUAGAUGCUCUUGUGAUUGGUGAUUCUUUAAAAAUGUUUUUAUCAACUAAUUAAAAAAAACUUUAGACAGGGAUUUACAUAUAUAUCCCAGGGUGGCCUUGAUAUAUUACGGCUGAAGAUGACCUUCAAUUUCUCACCAUCCUGCCUCCACCUCCCAAGAGCUGGGAUUAUAGGCUGGGGCCACCACACAUGGUUAGUAUGCCGCUAAAGAUCAAACGCAGGGCUUCAUGCACGCUAGACCACUCUCUGCCAACUGAGCUAUAUUCACAGCCCCGGUUAUUGAUUUUAAAACACCACUAAGAAGCUUGCCAGAGUUUUUAAUUAAUAAGUAAGUCCUUGACUUCAGUGACUUGGGCAUUUAUGUAAUAUUUCAUGUUAUCUAGGCAAAGACCCUGGGUACAUUGCCGUGAUGUGUGGUCAAACACUGGCCUUUCAACCAGAAGGACGAACUUGCUUGCAGAGAUUGACAAGAACAAAUGAAUGAGCUCCCUGGCAAGCUGAUGGUAGAACCAAUUUCAUCCCAGGAUGUCAGAGCCCAGCAUCUUUCUAAAUCAUUUUGCAGGACUAUCACUCAACUCUAAGAAUGUGGACCGUAAGACUAUUUGAUGUGACUGCUCAGACCCACCUUCUUUCGAUCACGGCACAACAAGCAUUAAUAAAUAAAGAUACAGAGAUGACAUUUGCAUGGGGAGGCAGCCCCUCCCAGCAAUGGAUAAUUUGUGUGCUAAGAUCAUGUUUAUGUGGCCCCUGUCAUCCUCAGCUGUGUGUGUUAGAAGUGUUAACUAUCUAGUCUUUAUGUUUAAAGCUGAAACACUGGAUUUGGUGGGAAGUCUACAGCAGCCACAGGAGAAAGCUGAAAUUUCAUCUCGCCGUCACCUUUUCCAGAUUCAGUCGGGGUUAGGAGAGAAGGAAGAAUGACACUGGAUAGGCAAGGCACUGACACAAGUUCCCUUGUGUGUGUGUGUGUGUGUGUGUGUGUGUGUGUGUUUAGUGUCGCCCCCAGUUGCUUCUGUGGUGAGCCAAGUAUUCAGCUUCACAAUUAAGUCUAAACUUAAAGCUUUGUUGGCUGAAGCGAGGACUUUGCAGAGUGACAUUUCUGUUUUAAGGGCUUGUAUGGAGACCAUAUUGCUGGCAUAGGAAUUCAGCUUUGUGGAGCAGGAAACGGUUUCCGGCUCUAGUGAAUAAUGUUCCCAAUUUCAGAUGGAAAAACAUCGAAUAUCAUGAUUUUGGCCCUCAAAGAGCAGCUAUUCGUGACUGCCACAUUGAAUGCUGUCUCUCGUUUUGCUUUGGCAAUGAAGGGGCCAGUGUACCACAAUAACUUUGGGUAAGCUGAUUUUAUGGCCUUAGAAAUUGUGAAAGUGAUUGAGAUUAGUGGAUGGGCUGGUCCAAAUGUGUCUUCAUAUGUAUC
rnacentral:lncRNA from 1 species